AUUGAACGCUGGCGGCAGGCCUAACACAUGCAAGUCGAGCGAGCGGCGGACGGGUGAGUAAUGUCUGGGAAACUGCCUGAUGGAGGGGGAUAACUACUGGAAACGGUAGCUAAUACCGCAUACCAUCAGAUGUGCACAGAUGGGAUUAGCUAGUAGGUGGGGUAAUGGCUCACCUAGGCGACGAUCCCUAGCUGGUCUGCGAGGAUGACCAGCGACACUGGAACUGAGACACGGACCAGACUCCGACGGGAGGCAGACGUGGGGGAAAUUGCACAAGGGGCGCAAGCGUGAUGCAGCCAUGCCGCGUGGGUGAAGAAGGCCUUCGGUUUGUAAAGCACAUUCAGCUAGUAGGCGUUACCCGCAGAAGAAGCACCAGCUAACUCCGUGCCAGCAGCCGCGGUAAUAC
rnacentral:rRNA from 1 species